rnacentral:tRNA from 1 species
AUUUCUGCAUUUAUAUAGUUUAAAAAAAUAUUACAUUUUCAUUGUAAAGUUAAAUAUACUAUAUUUUAUA